GAUGAAGAACGCAGCGAAAUGCGAUAAGUAAUGCGAAUUGCAGAAUUUCCGUGAGUCAUCGAAUCUUUGAACGCACAUUGCGCCCACUGGUAUUCCGGUGGGCAUGCCUGUUCGAGCGUCAUUUCAACCAUCAAGCGCCUCGCUUGUGUUGGGGCCCUGCGGCUGCCGCAGGCCCCUAAAUCCAGUGGCGGGCUCGUCGUCGUACCGAGUGCAGUAAACAUCCUCGCUCAGGGAACCCGACGGGUGCCGGCCGUGAAACCCCCCCUCCUCAAGGUUGACCUCGGAUCAGGUAGGAAUACCCGCUGAACUUAAGCAUAUCAAUAAGCGGAGGA
rnacentral:misc_RNA from 1 species